rnacentral:rRNA from 1 species
CUGGCUCCUGCAUCAUUCAGGCUCGUUUGCUCCUGGCUCUGGCUGCACGCUGGCGGCGUGCCUUAACUCCCUGCAAGUCUCACGGUUCUCUGUCCGCUUCCGCGGCUUUCGGCCAAAUCUUGUUAUCUUCUUAGUGGCGGAACGGGUGUCGUUAACGCGUGGGCAACCUGCCUCAUACUGGGGGAAUAACAGUUGGAAACAACUGUUAAUACCGCAUAAGCGCACAGCAUCGCAUGAUGCAGUGUGAAAAACUCCGGUGGUAUGAGAUGGGCCCGCGUCAUAUUAGCCAGUUGGCGGGGUAACGGCCCACCAAAGCGACGAUCUGUAGCCGGACUGAGAGGUCGGACGGCCACAUUGGGACUGAGACACGGCCCAAACUCCUACGGGAGGCAGCAGUGGGGGAUAUUGCACAAUGGAGGAAACUCUGAUGCAGCGACGCCGCGUGAGUGAAGAAGUAUUUCGGUAUGUAAAGCUCUAUCAGCAGGGAAGAAAGGCUCGUAAGAGAGAUGACGGUACCUGACUAAGAAGCCCCGGCUAACUACGUGCCAGCAGCCGCGGUAAUACGUAGGGGGCAAGCGUUAUCCGGAUUUACUGGGUGUAAAGGGAGCGCAGACGGUCUGGCAAGUCUGAAGUGAAACCCCACGGCUCAACCGUGGGCUUGCUUUGGAAACUGUCAGACUAGAGUACUGGAGAGGUAAGCGGAAUUCCUAGUGUAGCGGUGAAAUGCGUAGAUAUUAGGAGGAACAUCGGUGGCGAAGGCGGCUUACUGGACAGCAACUGACGUUGAGGCUCGAAGGCGUGGGGAGCAAACA